GAAAAUUCAGAGACCAAGAGGAGAACAGGAAGGUUUCAAGCCUUACAGAGAGAAUGACGUGGGUCAGCAGGCAGCUGGACAGAAGCCUCGGUCCAACAAUUACCAGAGAAGGCACAGAGUGAUCAUUAAGCUCCCAGCUUCAAGUCCCAACUCCACCAUUGGGACAGUUCCUUCAUCGGUCCCUGCCUCAGUUCCCCCAUCUGCUUAAUGGGGGUCCUCAUGGCUUCGACUCCUAGGAUUGUCAUGAGAAUUGAAGGUGUUAAAGCAUGAGAACUGCUUGGAACAGUGGCCGGCGCUAGGUUUACUACACCGAGGAUAGGAAAUUUUAGUGGGAAACGAGCUCUCUGGAGGAGAGGUCCCAGCGUUGU